rnacentral:SRP_RNA from 2 species
GCCAGGUGUGGUGGUGCACACCUGUAGUCCCAGCUAGUCGGGAGGCUGAGGCAGAAGGAUUGCUUGAACCCAGGAGCCAGAGGGAGCAGUGAGCCGAGAUCGCGCCACUGCACUCCAGCCUGGGUGACAGAGCGAGACUCUGUCUCAA